UAUAUAUAAAUAAAUAUUUGAUCAUGAUAUUCAUGUAACAAACUUAUGAAAAUUACAUUCUUGUAGUACACUUAACAUGUUUUUUUUUGUCUUCUUACAAUACAUUAAUCUACAAGCUUUAUAUGUCAUGAAACACAUCAUGAUCCUAUAUAUAAUAUAAGAACCUUAAAGAAAAUAUUUGAAUAUAUUGCAACAAUGAAAUAUACCAAGACUCCAAUCAACAAUCAUACUAUAACCUAUGAUGAA
rnacentral:lncRNA from 1 species